rnacentral:rRNA from 1 species
UAGUCCACGCUGUAAACGAUGAGUACUAGCUGUUGGGUCUGGUGUAAAAGACUUAGUGGCGCAGCUAACGCGAUAAGUACUCCGCCUGGGGACUACGGCCGCAAGGUUAAAACUCAAAGGAAUUGACGGGGACCCGCACAAGCGGUGGAGCAUGUGGUUUAAUUCGAUGCAACGCGAAGAACCUUACCUGCCCUUGACAUCCAUAGAAAGUUUGAGAGAUCAUACUGUGCCCUCGGGAACUAUGAGACAGGUGCUGCAUGGCUGUCGUCAGCUCGUGUUGUGAAAUGUUGGGUUAAGUCCCGCAACGAGCGCAACCCUUAUUUUAGUUGCCAUCAUUAAGUUGGGGACUCUAGAGAGACUGCCGCUGAUAAGGCGGAGGAAGGUGGGGACGACGUCAAGUCAUCAUGGCCCUUACGGGCAGGGCUACACACGUGCUACAAUGGGCAUUACAGAGGGAAGCUAAGCUGUGAAGCGGAGCGAAACUCAGAAAGGUGUUCGUAGUCCGG